rnacentral:rRNA from 1 species
GAUGAACGCUGGCGGCGUGCCUAAUACAUGCAAGUCGAGCGAACAGACGAGGAGCUUGCUCCUUCGACGUUAGCGGCGGACGGGUGAGUAACACGUAGGUAACCUACCUAUAAGACUGGGAUAACUUCGGGAAACCGGAGCUAAUACCGGAUAAUAUUUCGAACCGCAUGGUUCGAUAGUGAAAGAUGGCUUUGCUAUCACUUAUAGAUGGACCUGCGCCGUAUUAGCUAGUUGGUAAGGUAACGGCUUACCAAGGCAACGAUACGUAGCCGACCUGAGAGGGUGAUCGGCCACACUGGAACUGAGACACGGUCCAGACGCCUACGGGAGGCAGCAGUAGGGAAUCUUCCGCAAUGGGCGAAAGCCUGACGGAGCAACGCCGCGUGAGUGAUGAAGGUCUUCGGAUCGUAAAACUCUGUUAUUAGGGAAGAACAAACGUGUAAGUAACUGUGCACGUCUUGACGGUACCUAAUCAGAAAGCCACGGCUAACUACGUG